GGGCCGCGGUAAUUUGACCGUGCAAAGGUAGCAUAAUCGUUAGUUUUUUAAUUGGAAUCUUGUAUGAAUGGUUGAACAAAAGAAUGACUGUCUCUAUAUCUUUUUUGAAUUUAACUUUUAAGUGAAAAGGCUUAAAUGUUUUAAAAAGACGAUAAGACCCUGUAAAGCUUGAUAAGUUUUAUUAUUUAAUUGAAUUAUUUUAUAUAAAAAUUUAGUAAGAGCGGCUUAUUUUAUUGGGGCGGUAAUGAUAAAAUGUGUUUAACUGUUGAUAAAAGAAAACAAAGUUUAUUGUAUAAAGUGUAUAAAUGAUCCUUAAGUUAAGAUUAAAAGUUUAAGUUACUUUAGGGAUAACAGCGUUAUUUUUCUUGAGAGUUCAUAUCGAAAGAAAAGUUUGCGACCUCGAUGUUGAAUUAAACAUUCGUAUAUGAUUGCAGAAGUUAUAGUAGAGGCUCGGUCCGACCUUUAAAUUUUUACAUG
rnacentral:rRNA from 1 species